rnacentral:rRNA from 1 species
UUAAGCGACUAAGCGUACACGGUGGAUGCCCUGGCAGUCAGAGGCGAUGAAGGACGUGCUAAUCUGCGAAAAGCGUCGGUAAGGUGAUAUGAACCGUUACAGCCGGCGAUGUCCGAAUGGGGAAACCCAGUGCAAUUCGUUGCACUAUCGUUAACUGAAUACAUAGGUUAACGAGGCGAACCGGGGGAACUGAAACAUCUAAGUACCCCGAGGAAAAGAAAUCAACCGAGAUUCCCCCAGUAGCGGCGAGCGAACGGGGAGCAGCCCAGAGUCUGAAUCAGCUUGUGUGUUAGUGGAACGGUCUGGAAAGUCCGACGGUACAGGGUGAUAGUCCCGUACACCAAAAUGCACAGGUUGUGAACUCGAAGAGUAGGGCGGGACACGUGGUAUCCUGUCUGAAUAUGGGGGGACCAUCCUCCAAGGCUAAAUACUCCUGACUGACCGAUAGUGAACCAGUACCGUGAGGGAAAGGCGAAAAGAACCCCGGCGAGGGGAGUGAAAAAGAACCUGAAACCGUGUACGUACAAGCAGUGGGAGCACCUUCGGGUGUGACUGCGUACCUUUUGUAUAAUGGGUCAGCGACUUAUAUUCUGUAGCAAGGUUAACCGUAUAGGGGAGCCGCAGGGAAACCGAGUCUUAACUGGGCGUUAAGUUGCAGGGUAUAGACCCGAAACCCGGUGAUCUAGCCAUGGGCAGGUUGAAGGUUGGGUAACACUAACUGGAGGACCGAACCGACUAAUGUUGAAAAAUUAGCGGAUGACUUGUGGCUGGGGGUGAAAGGCCAAUCAAACCGGGAGAUAGCUGGUUCUCCCCGAAAGCUAUUUAGGUAGCGCCUCGUGAACUCAUCUUCGGGGGUAGAGCACUGUUUCGGCUAGGGGGUCAUCCCGACUUACCAACCCGAUGCAAACUACGAAUACCGAAGAAUGUUAUCACGGGAGACACACGGCGGGUGCUAACGUCCGUCGUGAAGAGGGAAACAACCCAGACCGCCAGCUAAGGUCCCAAAGUCAUGGUUAAGUGGGAAACGAUGUGGGAAGGCACAGACAGCCAGGAUGUUGGCUUAGAAGCAGCCAUCAUUUAAAGAAAGCGUAAUAGCUCACUGGUCGAGUCGGCCUGCGCGGAAGAUGUAACGGGGCUAAACCAUGCACCGAAGCUGCGGCAGCGACACUAUGUGUUGUUGGGUAGGGGAGCGUUCUGUAAGCCUGCGAAGGUGACCUGUGAGGGUUGCUGGAGGUAUCAGAAGUGCGAAUGCUGACAUAAGUAACGAUAAAGCGGGUGAAAAGCCCGCUCGCCGGAAGACCAAGGGUUCCUGUCCAACGUUAAUCGGGGCAGGGUGAGUCGACCCCUAAGGCGAGGCCGAAAGGCGUAGUCGAUGGGAAACAGGUUAAUAUUCCUGUACUUGGUGUUACUGCGAAGGGGGGACGGAGAAGGCUAUGUUAGCCGGGCGACGGUUGUCCCGGUUUAAGCAUGUAGGCUGGUUGUCCAGGCAAAUCCGGAUAAUCAAGGCUGAGGUGUGAUGACGAGGCACUACGGUGCUGAAGUAACAAAUGCCCUGCUUCCAGGAAAAGCCUCUAAGCAUCAGGUAACAUUAAAUCGUACCCCAAACCGACACAGGUGGUCAGGUAGAGAAUACCAAGGCGCUUGAGAGAACUCGGGUGAAGGAACUAGGCAAAAUGGUGCCGUAACUUCGGGAGAAGGCACGCUGGUGUGUAGGUGAAGUCCCUGCGGAUGGAGCUGAGACCAGUCGAAGAUACCAGCUGGCUGCAACUGUUUAUUAAAAACACAGCACUGUGCAAACACGAAAGUGGACGUAUACGGUGUGACGCCUGCCCGGUGCCGGAAGGUUAAUUGAUGGGGUUAUCCGUAAGGAGAAGCUCUUGAUCGAAGCCCCGGUAAACGGCGGCCGUAACUAUAACGGUCCUAAGGUAGCGAAAUUCCUUGUCGGGUAAGUUCCGACCUGCACGAAUGGCGUAAUGAUGGCCAGGCUGUCUCCACCCGAGACUCAGUGAAAUUGAACUCGCUGUGAAGAUGCAGUGUACCCGCGGCAAGACGGAAAGACCCCGUGAACCUUUACUAUAGCUUGACACUGAACAUUGAGCCUUGAUGUGUAGGAUAGGUGGGAGGCUUUGAAGCGUGGACGCCAGUCUGCGUGGAGCCAACCUUGAAAUACCACCCUUUAAUGUUUGAUGUUCUAACGUUGGCCCCUUACCGGGGUUGCGGACAGUGUCUGGUGGGUAGUUUGACUGGGGCGGUCUCCUCCCAAAGCGUAACGGAGGAGCACGAAGGUUAGCUAAUCCUGGUCGGACAUCAGGAGGUUAGUGCAAUGGCAUAAGCUAGCUUGACUGCGAGCGUGACGGCGCGAGCAGGUGCGAAAGCAGGUCAUAGUGAUCCGGUGGUUCUGAAUGGAAGGGCCAUCGCUCAACGGAUAAAAGGUACUCCGGGGAUAACAGGCUGAUACCGCCCAAGAGUUCAUAUCGACGGCGGUGUUUGGCACCUCGAUGUCGGCUCAUCACAUCCUGGGGCUGAAGUAGGUCCCAAGGGUAUGGCUGUUCGCCAUUUAAAGUGGUACGCGAGCUGGGUUUAGAACGUCGUGAGACAGUUCGGUCCCUAUCUGCCGUGGGCGCUGGAGAAUUGAGGGGGGCUGCUCCUAGUACGAGAGGACCGGAGUGGACGCAUCACUGGUGUUCGGGUUGUCAUGCCAAUGGCACUGCCCGGUAGCUAAAUGCGGAAGAGAUAAGUGCUGAAAGCAUCUAAGCACGAAACUUGCCCCGAGAUGAGUUCUCCCUGAGACUUUAAGUCUCCUGAAGGAACGUUAAAGACGAUGACGUUGAUAGGCCGGGUGUGUAAGCGCAGCGAUGCGUUGAGCUAACCGGUACUAAUGAACCGUGAGGCUUAACCUU